rnacentral:rRNA from 1 species
AUUGAACGCUGGCGGCAUGCUUUACACAUGCAAGUCGAACGGUAACAGGCCGCCAGGUGCUGACGAGUGGCGAACGGGUGCGUAAUGCAUCGGAACGUGCCCAGUCGUGGGGGAUAACUACUCGAAAGAGUAGCUAAUACCGCAUACGAUCUAUGGAUGAAAGCGGGGGACCGUAAGGCCUCGCGCGAUUGGAGCGGCCGAUGUCAGAUUAGGUAGUUGGUGGGGUAAAGGCUCACCAAGCCAACGAUCUGUAGCUGGUCUGAGAGGACGACCAGCCACACUGGGACUGAGACACGGCCCAGACUCCUACGGGAGGCAGCAGUGGGGAAUUUUGGACAAUGGGCGCAAGCCUGAUCCAGCAAUGCCGCGCGCAGGAAGAAGGCCUUCGGGUUGUAAACUGCUUUUGUACGGAACGAAACGGCUCUGGUUAAUACCCGGGGCUAAUGACGGUACCGUAAGAAUAAGCACCGGCUAACUACGUG